GGGUCAGUAGGUUGGUCGUGCCACCGGUACGUACUGGUCUCACUGAUUCCUCCUUCCUGAAGAACCGUAAUGCCAUUAAUUUGGUGUUGCGGGGAAACAGGACUGUUACUUUGAAAAAAUUAGAGUGUUUAAAGCAAGCUAACGCUUGAAUACGUUAGCAUGGAAUAAUGAAAUAGGACGAUCGAUCCUAUUUUGUUGGUUUCUAGGAUUGACGUG
rnacentral:rRNA from 1 species